rnacentral:rRNA from 1 species
AUUGAACGCUGGCGGCAAGCCUAACACAUGCAAGUCGAACGAGUGGCGCACGGGUGAGUAAUGUCUGGGAACCUGCCUGAUGGAGGGGGAUAACUACUGGAAACGGUAGCUAAUACCGCAUACCAUCGGAUGUGCCUAGAUGGGAUUAGCGUGUAGGUGGGGUAAAGGUUCACCUAGGCGACGAUCCCUAUCUGGUCCGAGAGGAUGACCAGCCAAACGGGAACGGGGAAACGGUCCAGACUCCUACGGGAGGCAGCAGUGGGGAAUAUUGCACAAUGGGCGAAAGCCUGAUGAAGCCAGGCCGCGUGGAUGAAGAAGGCCUUCGGGUUGUAAAGUACUUUCAGCGGGGAGGCGUUACCCGCAGAAGAAGCACCGGCUAACUCCGUGCCAGCAGCCGCGGUAAUUC